rnacentral:rRNA from 1 species
UACGAGGGGUGCAAGCGUUAAUCGGAAUUACUGGGCGUAAAGCGCAUGCAGGUGGUUUGGUCAGUCAGAUGUGAAAGCCCCGGGCUCAACCUGGGAACUGCAUUUGAUACUGCCAAACUAGAGUCCUUGAGAGGGGGGUAGAAUUUCGGGUGUAGCGGUGAAAUGCGUAGAGAUCCGAAGGAAUACCAGUGGCGAAGGCGGCCCCCUGGCAAGAGACUGACACUCAGAUGCGAAAGCGUGGGGAGCAAACAGG